AUUGAACGCUGGCGGCAUGCUUUACACAUCCAAGUCGAACGGCAGCGCGGGCUUCGGCCUGGCGGCGAGUGGCGAACGGGUGAGUAAUGCAUCGGAACGUGCCCAGUAGUGGGGGAUAGCCCGGCGAAAGCCGGAUUAAUACCGCAUACGACCUGAGGGUGAAAGCGGGGGACCGAAAGGCCUCGCGCUAUUGGAUCGGCCGAUGUCGGAUUAGCUAGUUGGUGGGGUAAAGGCUUACCAAGGCGACGAUCCGUAGCUGGUCUGAGAGGACGACCAGCCACACUGGGACUGAGACACGGCCCAGACUCCUACGGGAGGCAGCAGUGGGGAAUUUUGGACAAUGGGGGCAACCCUGAUCCAGCCAUGCCGCGUGCGGGAAGAAGGCCUUCGGGUUGUAAACCGCUUUUGUUCGGGAAGAAAUCCUCUGGGCUAAUACCCCGGGGGGAUGACGGUACCGGAAGAAUAAGCACCGGCUAACUACGUG
rnacentral:rRNA from 1 species